rnacentral:rRNA from 1 species
GAGAGUUAAACAGUACGUGAAAUUGUUGAAAGGGAAACGAUUGAAGUCAGUCGUGCUGGCGCGAAAUCAGCUCGACCACUAGGGGAUCACGGGCCGUAGCGAGCCUCAAAACCGUUACGACUUGUGAUUGCUUAGUGGCCUGGUGCACUUUCGUGUCGGCUGGUUAACAUCAAUUUCGAUCGUCAUAAAAAGGCUGGAGGGAUGUGGCUCCUUCGGGAGUGUUAUAACCUUUGGCGGAAUGUGGUGGUCGGGAUUGAGGUUUGCAACGAAUACCUUCAGGGCUGUUCCACCUGGCCUCUCAUCGGCAUCCUGGCGACGACAGCUUGCUGACGUUGUUAGGAUCAGCUUUCGAACAGGCUAGAGUGUGAGCAAAUUCGUUAAGGAUGUUAACGUAAUGGCUUUAAACGA